CAGACACUUUACUAGCUAGGCAAGUCACUUAACUUCUGUUUGCCUCAUUUUCUUCAGUGGUAAAAUAUAAAUAAUAAUAGCUUCUGCCUCCCAGGUACAUGUUGUGAGGAUCAAAGGAGAUAACAUCUGUAAAGUGCGUGUAGCAAAAUUAAAUAAAUGCUGUUUCUUUUUUUCUUUCUAUGAUUCCCAGUUCAGGGAUCUUUCUAUUAUACCCCACUGUCUCCAGAUAAGAACUUUGGCCUGGAACUUUGCAAGAGGGGACUUUGGAGCAGACCAGAACCCUUGGGCUCACGGACUUAUCCAGGGAGACACGUUCUUGAGGAAAUCUUUGGACAUUUCUUUUCACUUCUCGCACACGUCUUCCUUGACCGAACCCCCCAGAUAUCCCUUACGUAUUAAAACAUUUUGGGGCAGUGGAAAGAAUACUGGAGUAAGUCAGGAUAUCUGGAUUCUGAUCCCAGAUCUGACUCUUACUUGGGUAAGUCACUUAACUGCUAAGCCUUAGUUGCCUCAUCUGCCUAACAGGGAUGAUAUCUGACCUAUAAACUGCCCUGCAGGGUAUUUGUGAGGAUUAAAUGAAGUUAUCUCCAGGAGAGCAAUUUGAAAACUAAGACGCUAUACAAAUUUGGUUCCUCUUAUUUGGAAAGGUCUCUUUAUCUUCAGACGGUUUGGCCUUGAUUAUUUCUAAAGCCCCUCACAGAAUGGGAAUCCGAUUCCAAUCCUAUGAUCCAUUUGCCACAGCAUGGACAUGUUGCAUGCAUGCUCAUGGCCCAAGACUUGAAUUUUUCUCAGCAGGGCUAACACCCUCCCCACCUCCCCACCCCCCCACCCCCAUCAUCUCCUAAUGGGCAGGCACAUUAUCACACUGGCCAGACUAACACAAACACCCCAAUCUGGCUGUAUUCCAAACACCAGAUGCGCCCACAAUUAGUGUCAGUCUGGAAAAUGUUCCUACGUCUGGAAGGUCAGUGUCAGCUGGACAUGCCUGCCGUGCCGCCCCCCCCCCCCUUUCUGUCAGCUGUUGGGAGGGUGAGAGAGAGCCUGGGUUUGCCACUUUUUCAACAGUCUUAGCUGUGGAGGUCCCAGCCACAGGCAAGUUUAACUGGGCCUUAGAAGGUUGGCAUUCCAGUGUCUGUGGAGUCCAGGCCUACCUUGUUGCUUUUGGAGAAGGAGAGAGUCUUUGGUGUGGGAGGUAUAAAAUUUGGAGGUUACCCUGAGGGUGUGAGAAAAGGGAAGUCCUG
rnacentral:lncRNA from 1 species